rnacentral:rRNA from 1 species
AUUGAACGCUGGCGGCAUGCCUUACACAUGCAAGUCGAACGGUAACAGGUCUUCGGAUGCUGACGAGUGGCGAACGGGUGAGUAAUACAUCGGAACGUGCCUAGUAGUGGGGGAUAAUUACUCGAAAGAGUGGCUAAUACCGCAUGAGAUCUACGGAUGAAAGCAAGGGAUCGCAAGACCUUGUGCUACUAGAGCGGCCGAUGGCAGAUUAGGUAGUUGGUGGGAUAAAAGCUUACCAAGCCGACGAUCUGUAGCUGGUCUGAGAGGACGAUCAGCCACACUGGGACUGGGACACGGCCCAGAGUCCUACGGGAGGCAGCAGUGGGGAAUUUUGGACAAUGGGCGAAAGCCUGAUCCAGCAAUGCCGCGUGCAGGAUGAAGGCCUUCGGGUUGUAAACUGCUUUUGUACGGAACGAAAAGUCCCGGGUUAAUACCCUGGGGUCAUGACGGUACCGUAAGAAUAAGCACCGGCUAACUACGUGCCAGCCGCCGCAGUAA